rnacentral:rRNA from 1 species
AUGGUCCAACUACAGAACUUCUUCUUUUUCAUUACUUCCAUGGUCGUGCCCCGUGGCACGGCAGCACCCGUACUAUUGAAAUGGUUCGUCAGUAGAGAUGUUCCCACUGGUGCCUCUUCUUCCAAUGGUACUAUAAUUCCUAUUCCUAUCCCUUUAUUCCCUUUUUUGGUCUAUCUACAUUUAAGGAAAUUCAUACGCUCCAUGGACAGAGCAAAAAGUGGAGUGUUGGUCAAAGCAAGCCGCCCUAUUCUAUUACCAGACAAAAUGGAGAGAAGCUCAUCCGCUAGAAAUGCUUUAUUUCGUUUCGUUCCCGUUCUUCAUUUCCUUAUUAUCGAAUCCAUGGGGGACUUGUCAUAUUUAGAAUCUUUCUGCGGUCUGCUCUAUUUACAAUUCUUUCGUACUCUCUUCUCUUUACCAUGCGAUAGGUCAGCGAAGCGUGAGCGGGCGCUCCGAAGUAAAGGCCAAACACUUCGGCCUAAGGGGAAUGAGCAACAAAAUGACAAGAUGAGGUGCCCCGGGCACCCCCAUAUAGAAAGAAGGGUCGAAGGUUUUGGGCCUGUAGCUUUCCCCGCCCCCCCCCUCGUCGAGUGGUGCUUGUUUGCGGGGUGUGCCACCAGAAAGCGGGCUUGA